AUGUACAGUUCCAAUGCCUCCUAUCUUUACGUGGCCUGGUAUUGGCAGCGUCCUGGUGGACCCCUGCAGUACUUGUUGCAGAGCAAGGGCCAGGGAGGCUCCUACAGCCACACAGCCCCUGUUGCGCAGAAGAGGUUUUCCUGGCGGGCUGACAGGAGCUUUGGGACCCUGAUGAUGAGUGGGCUGGAGCUGGGGGACAGUGCGCUCUAUUACUGCACCCUGCAGGGAGCACAGUGA